AAGGUUGAACUCAUGUUUUUUCGAUGGCCUUGGCCAUUGGGAUGUUGCUUCGAACUGUCAUCGAAGUAGUAUCACGUCGUAGUUCGAACGAGGUCGAACUCAUAUUUUAUCUACGGCCUUGGACAUUGGGAUGUUGGUUUGAACUUUCAUCAAAGUAGUCAUCGUAGUUCGAAUGAGGACAAACUCAUGUUUUGUCGAUGGCCUUGGCCAUUGGGGUGUUGCUUCAAACUGUCAUCGAAGUAGUAUCCCAUCGUAUUUCCAAUGAGGUCGAACUCAUAUUUUAUCGAUUUGACCGUGUUCCUAUAGGAAGACGUCUCCUGUCGGUUAGUGGAGAUCUGGUUCUGCAUAUUCUAUGGAGAUACUCAUGUUUUAUCGAUGUCCUUGGCUAUUAGGAUGUUGCUUCGAACUGUUGUUGAAGUACCAUUUGUCGUAGUUCUAAUGAGGUCGAACUCAUGUUUUGUCGAUGGCCAUUAGGAUGUUGCUCCAAACUAUCAUUGAGGUAUCAUCCCGUCGUAAUUUGAAAGAGGUCGAACUCAUAUUUUAUCGAUUUGACCGUAUUCCCCUUAGAAGACGUCACCUAUAGAUUAGUGGAGAUCUGGUUGUGCACAUGCUAUGGAGAUACUCAUGUUUUGUCGAUGGCCUUGGCCAUUGUGAUGUUGCUUCAAACUGUCGUUGAAGUAGCAUCCCGCUGUAGUCCGAACAAGGUCAAACUCAUGUUUGGGGAUUUGACCGUGUUCCAACAGGAAGACAUCACAUGUCGGUUAGUGGAGAUCUAGUUCUGCACAUGCAAUGGAGAUUAAAUUUCGUACAUACAAUGGAGAUUAGAUUCCGUUUAUACAAUGGAGAUUAGAUUUCGUUCAUACAAUGGAGAUUAGAUUCCAUUCAUACAAUGGAGAUUGGAUUCUCUAUAUGUAAUCCCUUCAUUACUUUGAUCCCGAGAUCAUGUCAAUGGGUUGAGGUAAUGAACAGCGUGUCGACCCGUAAGGCGUCUCUCUUUCCGCCUCAUUAAAAAUCUUCCCAGGAAAACCUGAUUGGGACAUAACCCGGGUGAGGUAAAAAGAGUACAAUUUAAGUGACACCUUUUAGAAGUGUAAAUACUUGAGGUGGGCGAUGUUCCAGUUUUUACGAGCAGUUUUCCCUCCAUUGUUUCAAUUUAGAACGCUCAUUUGUUCGCUGUUGCUACAAUUUUAUAGGGUCCCUCCCAGUUUGUUCCUAACUUUCCUUUGUUUGGAUCCUUUGAUGCUUGCGUUUUGGCCUUGAGGACGUAGUCGCCGACUUUGAGUGAUCACGCAUUGGCUCUAUGUUGUAUUAUCUUUCUACUUGCUGCUUCUGGGCUACCAUUCUUACGUGGGCCAUAUCACUUCGUCCUUCAAUUUCAUCCAGAUAUUGUAGCCUACUUUCGUCGUUAUCUGCUCCGUUCUUGUUGGAGUAUCUCAAGCUGGUUUCCUCGACCUCGACGGGUAUAACUACGUCAGUCCUAUAGACCAGUGAGUAUGGUGUUUCUCCGAUGAUGGAUUUUGGUGUGGUGUGGUAUGCUCAUACAGGUAGUAGUUCAGGCCAUAGACUUUUAGCUUCCUCGAGCUUCUUUUUCAAUAUGUGAAGUAUUACUUUGUUGGAGGACUCCAUUUGGCCAUUGGCCUUAGGGUGAUGCAGACGGGAAAGUAUCCGUUUGAUGUGCCACUUUUCGAAGAAAUCAGUUGUUCUUUUUCCAACAAAUUGAGGUCCAUUAUCGCACCAAAUUUCCUUGGGGAUUCCAAAAUGGCAUAUAAUGUUUUUCCAUAUAAAGGCGAUGACCACCUGCUCACGUAUCUGAGUGUCCGCUCGACUGCAUUGUUAAAACUUGUUAGUGUUAUGCAACACAGUAUUAUUUUAUCCUCAAGCCUCAUUUGCAUGAGAACUCGCAGGUGAACAAUAUACGCGCCGCUUUUGUUGUCUACCGUGAUUCUUUUUACAUAUGUAUCAGUGAUGUGUAAAGUAAUAACUAAAGCAUCAUAGAGAGGAAAAGACAAACCAUCAGCAUCUGACUUAUCGUAGAUGAUACUGUCUUCAAGAUCAUCAUACCAUUUGUGGGCGACUAUCCAUUUGAGUUUAUGCUUGGUGGUGCAUUACAUGGUUGAUUACCGUGUCAUUGCCACCGCCAAUGAUCCUCUGUAUGGUGCGUGUUGGCGACGGCGGCUUUGGAGGUCCUUGAGAUGGAUAUCAUCCUCUGGAGAAGUUGGCCCUCCAUGUAUGCUUUCAAGCACCCCCUGUUCAACAUCCUAACUACUUCCUGCUGCAGACCUAUGAAAUCUUCGGUCUUGUGUCCUCUCUUUUGAUUGAAUUCAUAGAGGACGUUCAACCUCCUGGUGCUUGGGUCCGACUUCAUUUUUUGUGGCCACUUCACCUUCGUAUCCAGCUUCUCCAAUGUGUACACUAUCUCUGAAAGGGAUCAAACUCAAAAGUUAUGAGCAGAUAACAGUGGCGGCAUACCGCUUUCGUUUUGAAGGGGUGCAGUGUGUCGUAGCACGGCAUCCAGAUGUCUUGGAGGGGGAGGGUUAGAUGUUCAGACAUAGGUUUGAUGCCUUUAUCGACUGAAACAUGGGGUUUAUCCCUUCGCCCAUCGUUACGUCUAUCUCUCCUUUCAUCGGCCUGAACUGACGUUAAUAAUUGAAUCGGUCCAUUCAGAUUGUCCUAAUCUGCCCUUACCUCGAUGCAAUAGGCGUUGUGGAUCUCUUCCUAUAUGGUAGGGGGUACUUCAUGAGUCUGCUAAGCAGUUUUUUGGUUGCCUUUGAUCCGUUCCUGUUUAUCCCAUUUUGAAAGGCUGCUACUGCCAUCCCUUCUGACACGUUUGGCAGGCUCAUUUACUCGAUUGAAUCGGUCCAGGAAGUCCCGAAGUCCCUCGAUUUCCGUUUGCCUGACGACGAAGAUAUCAUUGACCCUAGCUUCAGCCUUCUUCACCCCUGCAUGAACGAUGGAGAAUUUAUCCACCAUCUCUUCGAAUAUUGAUAUUUAUCGUGCUGGAAGCUGGGAAUACCACGUCAUUACUCCCCCUGUCAAAGUCUCACCAAAAUUCUUUAGCAGCACAAAUGGUACCUGUUACUUUGACAGACUACUACCCUUUACUGCAGAAACAUAAUGGAUUAGAUGAUCCUCCGGGUUCGUAGUCUGAUCGCUUCCAACUCCGCACUACUAAUAAGUAGCAAAAGAGGGCCGCAAUAGCUUUUACCCAUUUUUGGAUCGGGAUCAAUAUCCACAGAGAGAUAGAAUUGAAUUCGAGUAUCUAUUUAGUUUAGGAUUAAGUAUAUGUUCCAAAUUACACUUCUCAUCAUUUUUGGAGUUUUCUUUAUAAUUCUACUUGUAUCAAACUACAAAUUAUAAAUUAAGCUAAGAGUUAAAUGAUGCGGGUUGUUCAAAUAGUUUAAGUGUACUAGGGUAGUGACAUUCGCCUAUGUGGUCAAUUGACGGGUACUUGAAACUAAGGCAUAAUUGACAUGAUUGGGGAGUAUGAUAGAACUAUUGCACCACUUUACAGAACUAUUGCACUACUUUACCCACUCUACACCUCUCGGUGGUUCAAGUGAUUUUGCCCAAUUGACUUUCUCAAGACCAAUUGAGUAUCCAAAUUUGCACAAGCAACUAGGGUUCAAGUUUGUUAUUACUCCCUCGAGGUUUAACCCUAUAAUUGAGACUAUUAAUCUCUUGAGUACGAGUAUAAAAAUUUACUCAAGCAACUAGGGUUCAAGUCGGGUAUUACUCUCUCGAGACAUAACCCUUUAAUUGGGGCUAUCAAUCUCUUGAGUACGCUCCCUUGUUGGAUCAAUUUCGGAGACUUAGGCUCUCUUUCUCAAGCAAAACCCUAGUGAACUAAACACAAACUAGUAUUUGCAACUACCAAUUCAGCUAUUAACCAUGAAAUUGACCCAAAUAUCAAACACUCAUAGUCAAUUUAGCUCUAAAAUACAAGACCCAUCAAUUACCCACACUAGUAUUUAGCCACAACCCUAGCAAAUGGGUCUAGCUACUUAUAUUUAAAGAAGAAAAAUAAGAAAUAGAUGAAGAUAAAUACAUAUUAAUUAAUUGCUAAGUUAAAUAGAAAGAUUCAUUGAUGAUAUGUAGUUAAAGUUUCCCAAAAUGGAUAAGAAUACUCGACCCACGAGAACAGCUAUGCUAUUACAAUAUCUGAUACCCUAAAAAUGGAAAAGGAAUCUAUUUAUGCAAAGCUAAAAAAUUUGGACAAAAUACCCCUGCGGGUUAGUGCGGAUCGCACAAAAUGGCGUGCAGCUGCACUAGGGCUCUGACCUUGAAUAUCUGGCUCUCUGAACUCGGGCUCCACCGACCACACAGAAUAGACUGCAACCGCAGAGGCUUCUAAUGCGGUCCGCAGUAUGGACUGUUGAAAGCUUUGCCCUUGGUUCCUAUUGUUCUACCCACCUUGAUUGUUCCUGCUGCCCCAAUUAUUAUUAUUGCCAUUCCAAUUCCCUUGGUUUCCUUGAUUGUUUUUCUGAUUUCCCCAGUUGUUGUUUUGAUUGUUAUUCCCCCAAUUACCACUAUUUUGUCGUUGAUUUCCCUAAUUGCGUUGAGGUCUCCACUAUUGUUGGUUUGAAGAUUUUUCCUGAUGACCUUGAUAGUUAUUUACAUAUUGAACCUCUUCACUUUGUUCAUCAUAGCCAUCAUAUUGAAACACAUCACAAUCAUCAUCAAAUUGCUCAGAAUUCCCUUGAUUUUGUUGCCUAGUUUGCCUUCUCUUGUUGACAAGCAUAUUAACACCUUCCAUGGCUUUAACUUGUCAAGGAUUCUGAACUUGGUGCAAUUGCGCCUUAGCCAAUUGGUUCAUAGUAGUAGUAAGCUCACCUAUAGAUUUCCCGUGAUCAUGUAAGUCCUUGUGCAAAUUAGUGACCAUGGAAUCACCUUGAGGCACAUUUGCUCUACUCUGCCAUGCUGAAGAAGUGUCCACCAUCUCAUCAAGUAUAUCACAUGCCUCAUCAUAUGACAGCUUUAUAAAAUUUCCCCCGUCCAAUUGGUUCACUAUGCAUUUAUUUGUUGUAUUCAUGCCCUGGUAGAAGGUUUGUUGGAUCAUAGCCUCGGUCAUGUCAGUAUUGGGGCAUUCCUUCACCAUUGUCCUAUACCGCUCCCAAAUCUCAUGCAAAGGUUCUGUAGGCUCUUGCUAGAAGGUCAGUAUCUCAUCUCAAAGUGCCAUCAUAUGCCCGAGUGAGAAAAAUUUAGCGAUAGACUUAUCCGCCAACUCAUCCCAAGUUGUGAUGGAAUGGUUGGGAAGUCGUUCUAGCCAAUCCAAUAUGUAUCCACGAACCCCUUGAGAUGUUUGUACACAUUUUGUUUUGUAGCGCCUGUGAAAUACCCACGCUGCUCAAGUAAGGUCAACAUCACAUUGGUUAUCUGAAAAUUUCCUGCCCGGAUUUGGGGUGGGGCAAUAGCACUUGCAUAGCCUUGGUUUGGGAGCACUCUGGGAGCCACUCUUGGAGGUGGCAGAGGAGGGUCUAGAAUAUUGUUGUUUUCAUUUGCAUUGGCCUGACGGACUCUACUUUGACCUUGAGGUACAAGAGGCACCUCAUCAUCUCUAACAUCAUCUACCUCCUCCCCCUCUAUCACUUUUCCAAGAGGGUUAUUAGCGUUGUUCGCUGCCAUUUUAGUACCUGAGUAGUGACAUAAAAAUAUUAGAAACAAAGAAGGAAAGAAGAACAAUACACAAAACGAACUAAAUAGAUAGCCAAAAUCGUUAGCUCCAUGGAAACAGUUCCAAGAAGUGAUCGCUUCCAACUCCGCACUAGUAAUGAGUAGCAAGAGAGGGUUGCAAUAGCUUUUACCCGAUUUUGGGUCGGGAUUGAUAUCCACAGAGAGUUUGAAUUCGAGUCGAGUAUCAAUUUAGUUUAGGAUUGCGUAUAUGUUCCAAAUUACACUUCUCAUUAUUUUUGGAGUUUUUUUAUAAUUCUACUUGUAUCAAACUACAAAUUAUAAAUUAAGCUAAGAGUUAAAUGCUAAGGGUUGCUCAAAUAGUUUAAAGGGAACUAGGGUAGUGGAAUUCGCCUAGGUGGCCAAUUGACGGGUACUUAAGACAAAGGCACAAUUGACAUGAUUGGGGAGUAUGAUAUAACCGUUGCACUACUUUACCUACUUUAUACCUCUCGGUGGUUCAAGUGAUUUUGCCCAAUUGACUUUCUGAAGACCAAUUGGGUAUGCAAAGUUGCUCAAGCAACUAGGGUUGGGUAUCACUCUCUCUAGGUUUAGCCCUUUAAUUGGGGCUAUCAAUCUCUUGAGUAUGCUCCAAUUCCUUGUUGGAUCAAUUUCGGAGACUUAGGCUCUCUUUCUCAAGUAGAGCCUUAGUCAACUAAAUACAAACUAGUGUUUGCAACCACUAAUUCAGUAAUUAAUCAUGAAAUUAACCCAAAUAUCAAACACCCAUAGCCAAAUUAGCCCUAAAAUUUAAGUCCCAACAAUUACCCACACUAGGGUUGAGCCACAACCCUGGGGGUCUAGCUACUCAUAUUCAAAGAAGAAAAACAAGAAAUAGAUGAAGAUAAACACAUAUUAGUUAUUUCCUAAGUUAAAUACAAAGAUUUAAUGAUGAAAUGUAGUUAAAGUUGCCCUAAAUGUCUAAGAAUAGUAGACCCACGAGCGCAACUACGUUAUUACAAUAUCUGAUACCCUAAAAAUGGAAAAAGAAUAUAUUUAUACUAAGCUAAAAAAUUUGAACAAAAAUUCCCUUACGGGGUUUGUGCGGAUCGCACAAAAUGGUGUGCGGCCCGCACAAAAUGGUGUGCGGCCGCACUAGGGGUCCGAACUUGAAGAUCUAGCUCUCUGAACUCGGGCUCCGCGGACCAUACAGAAUAGUUUGUGCCCGUAGAGGCUUCUAGUGCGCUCCGCAGAGCAUGGACUGCAGACCGCAUUGACUUGAAAGCUCUAACUUGGCACUCCUCUAAAUCUCUGCUCUGCGGACCACACAAAAUGGUUUUGUGGUUGUAUUACCUUCAGUGCGGACCGCACAAAACCUAGUGCGGCCAGACUGCCUCUUAGCUUGGAAAUCCUGCUCUCUAUAUCUCCUAGUGCGGACCACACAGAAUAUAGUGCGGCGGCACUGGCCUUGUUUUGCAUGAGCUUUAUCUUUUCUUGGUACUUAUUCAAGUUUCACUCUUUUUGAGUUGAUAUUUGAUAUUUUGUUAUUUUGUUGAUCAAACCUGCAAUCAAGCACAACUUGUAAUCCUUUCAGGACUAUUUUGUAUAAAUUUCUAAUCAAAGCAUAAGCAAGAAGGAGUAUGAAAUGUAUCAAAAUCCCAGUUAUCAUGUCCCCUCGUAUAUUUUCAAGUAUGGCGGCAUCUUGAAGGUUUUUGGAAUUGGAUGAGGAGCAGCCCAAUCGCUGUACGGUUGUUCGUCGAAUCGGCCUAUAUCGCAUUUUGGUGAUAGCUUAAGGGCGCCUGGUAUUUUGUCAACCCUUUUAUGAUGCUCCUUCAUUUUAUCACAUAGCGUUUUGUUCUCGUUUUCCAUAUCUUUCAUUUUCUUUAGUAUGUCCAUGAGUGCAUUGUCACCUUUAUCAGUGACAGAACGGGUGUUGCCCGUUCGUGUGGUGCUUGGCUCGGUGGUGGUAACUACUAUAUCUGUAGGUGGUAGGUUUCCGACAUUUCCUUGAGAGGUUUUUUUGAGCAUGUUGCUCAGAGCACUUGUCAACCAUUCUUCUAGCAGCUUUUUUACUAUUGGUGGUGGUUCCCUCACUGUGGACGUUGAAGCUCCCCUUUCACGCAAGACCGUUAGAUCCCCGUGUGGAGAAGGUGAGAGCUCCCCCUCCGGUGUAACUUUUGGUAUGGUAUUCUCAGUGUCUUCUCUACCAGCUUCAUUGAGGGAGUUCACGAGAUUGUUUAAGACAUCUGCUAUCAUCUUCAGCCUCGCUUCCUUUUCCGCCAUCAUUGGUUUUAUGAGGUUUGAAAAAUAGUAAUCGUCACUUUCAAGAACCUACAUGAGAACUGUGAUUUCAGUUGUGGAAAUCCCCACAGACGGUGCCAAAUUAUUUGACUUAAAAGAUAUUAAAAUAUUUUUGAAUAAAUUAAUCAAUGAUGAAGGGGUAAAUCGUAGCUGAAGAUAAUAAACCCUCGGAUGAUAAUAAUAGAUAAAAGAGGAUUGUAAAUAUGCUUUUUCAUUCAAGGUUGGUGAAUUUUUCAGUAUCUCCCUCCUUUAUAAGGCUCCCAUUCCUCUUAUAUAUUGAGGAAUUCCCUCCCNNNNNNNNNNNNNNNNNNNNNNNNNNNNNNNNNNNNNNNNNNNNNNNNNNNNNNNNNNNNNNNNNNNNNNNNNNNNNNNNNNNNNNNNNNNNNNNNNNNNNNNNNNNNNNNNNNNNNNNNNNNNNNNNNNNNNNNNNNNNNNNNNNNNNNNNNNNNNNNNNNNNNNNNNNNNNNNNNNNNNNNNNNNNNNNNNNNNNNNNNNNNNNNNNNNNNNNNNNNNNNNNNNNNNNNNNNNNNNNNNNNNNNNNNNNNNNNNNNNNNNNNNNNNNNNNNNNNNNNNNNNNNNNNNNNNNNNNNNNNNNNNNNNNNNNNNNNNNNNNNNNNNNNNNNNNNNNNNNNNNNNNNNNNNNNNNNNNNNNNNNNNNNNNNNNNNNNNNNNNNNNNNNNNNNNNNNNNNNNNNNNNNNNNNNNNNNNNCAUAGAAACAAUAUGUAAAAGAUCCUUUUUAGGAAUAUUCUCAAUGUCCCUAAUAUGCUUACUCUACCACCGAGGUCGUAUUAUUCUUUCUAUUACUACAAGGUCUUAACCUUUCUAGGCAUCAACUCGUAGGUGCUCGGCCGUCUGUCGUGCUCACUGCAGAUCGUAGUCGGUCAAAUUCAGACCCAUACAAUUACUACAAGGACAAUCUAGUUCAUGGGUAGAUUUGGCCACAAUGAUUAAUGGACAACAAAUCUAAACUAUUCACAUAUUUUGGGUUUAAAUUUAACAUGUGGGGAUAUCAAUUCUCUAAUAAAAAAUUUGGGUGAAGUUUGAUAUGAAAUUGAAAAUGUGUUUGAACAUGAAUUUUGGGGCAAGUUUGACAUGUUAAAAAGUCUUUUAUUUUUUUAAAAGACUUUUCAGAAAUCACUAUUGUUUAGUGGCUAUUAUCUUCGUAUAGCUAUAUAUAUAUAUAUAUAUAUAUAUAUAUAUAUAUAAAACUACUAUUCAGUUGUUACGGUAGUGUAUUCGUUGUAUUCGUGUUCUUGUUUUCAUGAAUACAACAGUAAAAAGCGCCUAAAAAUUAGGGUAGUCCAGCUGACGCGCAUGUAUUCACAUAUAUUCGCGCCAUGUAUUCAUGAAUAUAUCAGCAAAAAGUUCAUAAAAUCAGGGCAGUCCAGUUGUAUGAGCAUGUAUUCGUGUUGUUGUAUUCAUGAAUAUAGCAGUUAAAAGCGCCUAACUUUAUGGCAGUUCAGUUGUACGUGCAUGUAUUCACAUGUAUACGCGCCAUGUAUUUAUGAAUACAACAACAAAAAACGCCUAAAAUCAGGAAGUUUAGCUGUACGCACAUGUAUUCAUGAUGUUGUAUUAAUGAAUACAACUGCAAAAAAUACCUAAAAUCAGGGCAGUCCAGUUGUACGCACAUAUAUUCACAUGUAUUCGCGCCAUGUAUUCAUGAAUACAAUAAUCGCAAUCACCUUAGAAAUAAAUAUGUACAUCUAUCUAAGAGAGAGGAAAAACAUAAACAGGGUAUUUCGUGCCGUAUUUCAUGCCUCAAUGGUAGUAUAUAGGCGAAAUAUAUAAAUGGCCCCUCCAAGGUGUCCUCAACGGUCAGCCAGACACCUCAACUGACGUAUUUAUCAAGUAAACACCUCAGAUUAUUUUUAGUGCCUCACUUAAACCCUUCAGAGUGACAUGUCAAAAUGUGUGUUAUACACUAGGGGUGUUCAUCGGGCGGAUUGGGCGGCUUUUUACUCUUAACGGUUUGGCUUAACGGNNNNNNNNNNNNNNNNNNNNNNNNNNNNNNNNNNNNNNNNNNNNNNNNNNNNNNNNNNNNNNNNNNNNNNNNNNNNNNNNNNNNNNNNNNNNNNNNNNNNNNNNNNNNNNNNNNNNNNNNNNNNNNNNNNNNNNNNNNNNNNNNNNNNNNNNNUCGGACGGUUACCGGGCGGUUUAUCGGUUUAAUACCUAUGGGGUUAUCGAAAAGCUUAUACAGAUUCGGAGUACGUGUGUCUGUUAUUGGACAUAGACAUAGACUUCCCAUAAUUUUACGGAAAGAACUAAAGGAAGCCAUACUUUCCUUUCUACAAAGACACAGACGUUUUGGUGAACAUACAUAUUGAAACAUUACUUUCCCUCGUAUCUCUUCUCUUCUUAUUCAUAUGUUUGGUAAAGAAAUUUUGGAAGAGCUGCAUAAACAAAUCAAAACACUCAUGCUUCAAUUCAUUUAUUUGGCUGACAAAUUUUUAAAGGACGCAGACCAUUGACAGUAGCGGCAGUUUAACACGUUCUCUAGAGUAACACCAUAAAUUAACACAAUUUUAUUUUUGUUUGAAACAAACGCCAGAAAGUUUGUGUCGAAUCAGGAUGCUUUUUCUCUACUUCGAAAUUUCAUUGACGUGUGAUUUCACCUGCUAAUGUGUUUGUGCUUUGGGGGAACUAAGAGGUUGCUUUCACCUGCUAAUGUGUUUGUGCUGUGGGGGAACUAAGAGCUCUCUUCAAGCGACACAAAUUCCAAUAUAUUAAAAGCUAGUUAGAUUUUGAAGCUACUCGACAAGCAAAAGGUUUUGAACGUACAUAUGGAUAUUUAAGAGAGCUUUUGAGGGGAAGCAAAAAUCAAAGAAUCACUGUAAAGUAUAUAUGGCUUCAUAGUGUUACUUUUUCUUUGUGCAGUCACAAAGUUCGAGCAAGUCUAGACAUCUUUUGUAUACUCUAUACCUGUAGAAGAAAGGAAAACUUGUUCCUCUUUGAAGUAGAGGGAAAUAGAGAAUUCUAUCGAAGAGACUAAUGGAGUCCAUGUGCCAAACAAUGAACACUAAACAGGUUGCAGGAAUUCUUCUAAAGCACGUCAGAGGAACCUUGUUUGAAGGUAAUCUGCCCCGAAAAAAUUGGGAGUUCAUCUGCAUGAGAGAUGUUCCAAAAUCAACAUGCUGCCGCUGUAAAUAUAAAUUUUAUAUUUUUAAGGUUUUUAGUUUUUUAUAUUUAAUAUAUAUUAUUAUAUAAGUAAAAAUAAAAUUUAUAUAUAUAUAUAUAUAUAUUCUUAACGGGUUAACGGAUUAUCCGUUAAAAAAAUUGAAUAAUCCGCUCCCAAACUGAUAAGUCGUUAAUAAAAAAAUUUAACUUGUUUCCCAUACGUUAAACCGUUAACACGACCAGUAAACUAUUAAACUUUAAUUUUAAUGUAGUUUUUGAUUUUGGUUUGAUUUUAAUCACCCUUACUGUUCUCCUUAUACAUCCAUGCAGUGCAAAGAGUCCUACGGGACGUCAAAAUGUGACUCCUAUUCUAAGAUUUUGACGGUUCGGUUCGAUUUUCGGUUUCGGAUCAGUUUUGAACACCCCUAUUAUACACUCGCCUGGCAGCAAGUGAAGCCUUUCAAAAUUAUAUUUAUUUCUUUUUUUUUAAUUUAACUUGUGGAGCCCCCUGUUCCUCACUCUUUUUUUUCCAAAAUUUUCUUCUGAAUAUGCUAUUCAGUGCACCUUAACCCACCAUUAUCAACACCAACCAUGAUAGUGAAUGUGCAAAAAGGUAGAAGCCAUUGAAAACCCCGACGCGUAGAAGCCAUUGAAAACAGUAGAAGCUAUUCACUACAAAAGUUAUUUUCACCCAUUCUCUUCAGCUGCAAUCCCAAGAGGCAAAAAUUGAACAAGGUUUUGCCAAAAAAUUAGGGGACACAAAUUAAGGUUACGGGAGAUAAGUUAAUGUCUUUGGUGAAAGGCAGUAGGUUAAGUUCUGAUAACAUUUCAAGUGUUGAUGUGGUUUUAUGCAUACCAUCAUUAUGACCAAAGACUCGUCCAAGGAUGUUAAGUUGAAAUGAAUUAAGAUGAUGACUUCUUUGAAAUUCUUCAGCUUAUAUCUGUUGAAAAAUUUAUUUUUUGACAUCUCUCUAAAACCCGACCCAAAAACAAAAACAACAAACCCUAGAAAUUCAAAAUUUUGCAGCAACAUGAACAAUAAACAAGAACUGGUUCAUGAUUGUUGACGACGGUCAUGAUUGUUGCCGGCGUCCAUGGCUAUUACCGGUCUCAGUGGCUGUUUGGAAAUGGAUGAAGGCACUUCGAGGAGGAAAGAGUCGUUUGGACAGAAGCAGCGGUGCCUUGGAGAGGUGAUUGGACGAUUGGAAUUCUUAGGGGGAUUAGGGUCUUCUUUUGGUUGAAGAAGAAGGGGCAGCUAGGAGGGGUCUCUAGGGUUUAUUUAUUAUUAUUAUUACUUUUUUUGGUUUUAUAAUAGGUGGCAAAUUUUUUAAUCAGAAUUACACAUGACGUUUUCUCAUUUUCAUUUGAUAUGAAUCUGAGAGUGUAUUUCACGCGAGUGGGCUGAUGAGGUCGGGUGUUUAAUUGACCAGCUUUAUUGAAGGCUUGAAGUGUCCAACUGAAAAUGAGGUCAUUUGAGGUGUCUGGCCGACCUUUGAGGACAACUUGAAGGGGUUAUUUAUGUACUUCGCCUAGUAUAUACCAUAAAUACUUAUUUUGCUAUAAAAUAUAAAAGGUAGCUAUAGAAAAUAAUAUUUUAAAAUAAUUUUAAUUUAUAAUAAAUAUGGUAUAUACUUUUGCUAUAAAAGGUAAAAUUUUAUUUUUUAAGCUAAAAAGUCCCAAAAGGUCAUCAUUUAGCCCAAAAAUAGGUCUUAACCUAUAUUUGAGAUUUGAAGUUUUAAUUUUCAACAUCUCACAAAAAUUAAAUUAAUUCUAUAAACUAACAUAUAUAUGAAAAAGAUUCCAAAACUUAGGGCCAAACGCCUAUUAAAUCAUGGGGGAGAGGUGGUGGGUUUUGGUUUGAGACUUGACCUUUGAAAUGGUAACAUAAAACUAAAACUAAAACGGUGUAAUAAUAAUAAAUGUCACGGAGCCUAACUUUUGGAUUGAUUCUAGUUAAAGUAAAUGCUCCAUGUCCAGCAAUUGAUUGUAUUCCAUAAAAACCAAGAACGGCAAAGUAAACUUUUUCUUCAAUUCAGUUUAUCAGUUACUUGAUAGGAAAAUCUGAGCAGAUCUCAUUAGUUUUGCUAGUUAAUGACACGGUCUGUUAUAAGCGAUGGAGCCCACAUCUCUCUGUACCACAUCGCUAAUUGAAGUUCGUAACUAAACAUUUAAAACGCUGCCUACUGCUAUAUUGGGCACGACCUUACUUGAACAGGAUCUGUUCUAUAGGCUCGUACCACUGUAUCCUUGAGUUCCAAGGAGACAGAAAAUCAAGUCUGGUUGAUGAAGUGUGGCCAGGAGACUAGAGCGUGAUUAACGGCUUUGGUGGCCUCUUGGCUCUCUGACAGACUUAUAAUCUUUUUCGUUUUUGCUUUCACAAUUUACAAUUCAUCUCCGGCACCUAGCAAGUAAUAAACUCUUCAGGUUGUUUUAUAUUUUAUUUUAUCAUAUAGGGUUACACUCAAAUGCAAGAUGUGUUACUAGAUAGAAUAUCCCUUGGAACAUUCAGUAACUGGAAACUGAAACCAACUUGAUUGUCAAGGCCAAAGACUUUAUUUAGUGCAUCUGUAGACAAUGUGUUCGACCAAUGUUCACAAAGACUAUUAGAGAGUGAAAUUUAACGGUGAAAGCUGAAAGAUGGCUUUUGUUCUUGCCCUCUGCUUUGGAAAGUCUGAGAAUAUUUAUGGCAAGCUGUAGCUAUGGACUCUUUCAUUGUCUCAGGCCCACAAACGAAUACACCGAUAUUGGAUCCCUUGGAUUCAUUAGCAAACUGGGAAAAUAUAUCUGUUCAAUUUUCGACAUGUUAGAACGCCAAUAGAUAGGAAGUUAAAAGUUAAAACAAGGACAGAGAAUUUUUUUUUGGGACAUACCUUUAAAGUUUGGCCUUGCUCCAAAAUGGAUUUCAUGUUGAUCAAAACCUCUGUUUGCUUCUGUUGGUUUCACUGGUUUUCUUUCUGUUUCAGAAAAUGGUUCACUUAGCGUCUUCCAUCUCCAUAAGGUAGCCACUAAGGUGCUAGAUAUUAGUGCUAAUGCAAAUGAGCAUAUGAGAAGAACGUCCACUAUUGGGGAGGCAGUUCUGUUCAUAUGACUUCUUAUUAGGCCUGAUAAUAAUAUGGUUGAAGAUGCUAAGGAAUGCUAGAAAAAUGAUAGAUGCCAACAGGAGGAGGAAGGCCAUCGAUCGCAAGUUCUCAAGUCCAUAUACUGCAUAACCAGAACGCUUGUUGGCGAGAUGAAUGGUUUGUAUUUUAGAUACCUCAUCUAGCACUUCACGUAGGGAUCUAUUGGAUUGGUGUUCCCGUGUGACAAACACUUUCUGUUGUAGAUAACUUUGUUCUGCAUCAAAAACCUGCUGUAGAACUGGAUCUAACAAGCAGAUGCUUUGGGAAUCUUUAUGGUGUAGAGAAGCUGUACUUUUACAGGUAAUACAUUUUUGUUGCUUCUUGCUGAGGCAACUUCUUGCAGAAUGCUGAAGAAUGGUGUAACACCAAUUCCACCUGCAACUAGAAGUAGACUAUCAUAUCUGCAGAAGAUUCAACAAAUAAUUAUAUAUGGGAAAAUAUGAAAUAACAUCGUUUCCUUUACCUUAGAAAGUCCAUUGAUGAAGGUCAAUGAAAUAAUGGCUUUCUGUUGCUACGUGAAAAAACCUCAUUCCAUCAGCUUCUGCAUCAGUCUUUGAAUGUAGCAUAUUAUAGAGAGUGCUGGUCCACUGUCCCUCAGCUUUGAUCAAAAUAGAGAUAGUGUCUUUAUCAACUUUGGAGCUAGAAGUUAUGCUAAAGGGAUGCCAUUGAAACUUUGAAAUCCUCGGGAUCUUGACAUAAACCACACUUGUUGGUGUAUACUUUGCCAGUCCACCGUCCUUCAGCUUUGAUCAAAAUAGAGAUAGUGUCUUUAUCAACUUUGAGCUAGAAGUUAUGCUAAAGGGGUGCCAUUGAAAAUUUGAAAUCCUCGGGAUCUUGACAUAAAUCACGCUUGUUGGUGUAUACUUCAACCCUGAAAUAGUGUGUUACGUUGGUUGAUUAUUUAGGCCCAGUCAUGAAUUAAGAAAGCAUAUUCGCAUUUAAAUUGGAGAGAGAUUACUGAUUUAGUACUUGGAUCUUUUGGCAGAGUCAACUCUAUGGCUUUGGAAGGGAAGAUUCGAGCAGAAAGAAUAUAUGUUUCUGGCCUUGAUUGAAUUAUUCGGAGUAUCUUGUCAAGGCAAAACAAAAAAAAUGCCAGGGAAAACCAUGUAAAAGUGGCGAUCUCCAGCGUGAAGCAGGAAAAUAGUAUGAAUACUAUGUACAAAUGUUGUGUAUAAUAGAAGAUCUCGAAUCGUUUCCUUCUGAUCUGUGGAAGUGAAGUGAUCCAGAUAACCAAUCCUGUAACAAGACUGAUCUACCCAGCAAGGUAAAUACGCCCUACCUUUUGCCAUUUCCACAUCUAUAAUUUUCCCCAAAAAAGGACUUAGUAACAAAGCAUAUAUACAUUUGUUCAAACUAAAUUGAAAAAGAAAGCAAUGUUCAAAUGAUGACACGAGGUUACCUCAUCUCCAAUGUGAUGUUUCAUACCCCAGAUUAGAAAAGUACCUCCACCAUGUAAAGUGGAAAAUAAUAUCAUUGUUGUCCCAAGCCAAAUGUGGUAUCUCACGGAAGCUUCAAAUUGGAUGCCAAGUAAUCGAAAUAUUGACAUCCCCAUUAAGAUGGGAAGAAGAAGAAGCGCCAGGCAGGCUUCUGCUAAUAAACCACACCCCGUUGCCACUCUAAAGAUUCUGUAUUGCCAUCUGGAAAUGGCCGAGUUGGAAUAUGCUAUCAGAGAGUACUCUGAUACUUGUGUUGAAAAUGAUACUAUAAUAUUUGCAUGGGAAUAUAGGAAUAUACUUACACGUCCAAAGUGAAUGAUUUAAUCGGUAUCUUCUUGAAGUCACUGGAGAUUCGAGCAUAGAAUGUCCAUGCUAGAAAGAUGACAAAUAGAGAUACAACAAGGAUUUCAAACCCAGACAGAGUUCCUAAAUACCUACUCACAACUAGUGGAUUGGAGAGAAUAGAUAGUGAAGAUCUUCCUUUCCUGUCAGCCAAAUUCAGCACAUGUUUGCAUGAAACUGCCUAUAUUAAACAUUAAUAUGCUUAAAUAUAUACUGCAGGUAAAAAGCAUACCUGCUGGUUGGUUCCUUUUGUUUCAGUUCCAAGUACAUGAAACCUAUAGCUAUAGCAAUAACAGGGAAGGUGUACACAGCAAAAUUAAGACCUGCAGGACCUCAAAAUGAUAAAAAAAACAUUCACUAUUUUGGAGAGGAUUAACAUUGAACAGGACAUUAGAUUAACAUUUCUUGUACAUGUAAAUGGUGAGUUUGAAGUUAAAACCUAUACAUCUAAAUUAAUUUGUGUUAGGAACUCAGAACCUCACCAGCUUGGGUUAAGAAUGAGGUAGAUGCCUUUGCUUCUGCAAUUUUCCAACUUUUAGUCCAUAGUUGCGUGGGCUUAAGAAGCCAAAGUGAUACCCAUCCAGCAAAUAUCAAGAGAAGUAGCAAUUUAAGGAGGAAAGAGAGAAUUUUAGUCAUCUUUUAAGAAGUGCUGACUCUAUACAUGGAAUGUAACGAGUUUCUAUAUAUAUACUCUGGUUAAUUAUUCUGAACACCCUUCUAAUAUGAGUCAAAUGCAAAAUACAUCCGUUGUAUUUCAAGAUCAUACACUUAACCCCCUUGUACAAUAGAACUCCUACACAAAUAUUAGCUUGAAAAAUAUUUCUGCUUUACAAACUGUUUAAGUGUUACCCUAUAUUAACAGUGGCAGCUGUUGCUCCCAGAAAAUAUUGUGCGCUCUGCACCAUCCAUCAAUUUUGGAAUCAAUUCUCAUAUAAUAACAAGUUAGACCUGUUUUAAGUGAGAUUGAUGGUGAUGGAUAAUGAUGCCAUCAACUUAUGACAUUUGUGAUGGCUUUCAAAAUGGGAAUACAUCUUCUUCUUCUUUGCUUGCUGAGUGGAUGCUAUUAUCAGCAUAUCUAUUCAUUACAAUUUGCAGUAGUGGAUACAUGGUCCACUCGACUAAUGCUACAGACUAUGUUGUCUGACCUUUGUCCGCAUGUAGAUAGAAAAUAGAUCCAAAAAGAUAGCCCUCUACUCUAACUGGUUGACUAUAAUUUGUUCAUCCAGGGAACCAGACCCAUUACAUUAAGUGAGGAACUGAUAGAGCUCUUGUUAACAAGACAGCACAGUGAAUUACAGAUUUUUUAUUCUAGUUGCGCUAGCAUAAAUAUUUUUUGAGAUGGUCCUACAAUGUGGUUGGUAAUCAGAUUACUACAAAAACUAUGAGUUGCCAAACCAAACAAUUAUAUCGGAUUAUUAAAUCUAAAGACCAAACCAAACCAAUAAAACUCGGAUUUUUCACUCUAGGUUUUUUCCGUGUUUUCUCGGAUUUUCGGAUUAUUCGAGUUUUUUAGGAUUUUUUUCCCGGUAAAAUCUUCUUAGAACAAAACAUAUAAAUUAUGCUCAAAAUAUUUCUUUAGUCCUAGUAAGGUACAACUAUAUAAAGUAUUUUCCAAAAAAAUAAUACGAAAUAUGAAAUAUGUCAUGACAUUAUCCUAAAAUAUUCAACAAUAAAGACAAUAAAAUUAUGUAAUAUAAAUAUUGCUAAUUAAAAAGCCAUAAUAAAAAUAAAUAUAAUCUAAGAGUAAUAAGUCAUGCUAAAAUAAGUAGACUAAUAAGGCAUUAUUAAAUACAUGACUAAAUGCUAAAGAAAAGAUAAAAAUAUGUUAUGCUUUUUAUCUAAAUUAUUGUAAAAUAGAAAAUAGAUAUUCAAUACAUUCUCGUUCGAAGUAUUGAAUUAAAUAUCUUUUAUUAGAAUUAGUAUUGAUUUGAUUUUGGUUUGGGUUUUUGUUAGCACUAUUUAAUUUGCUAAUGUUAGUGGCUAUAAAAUUUAUUGAGACAUUCAAAAGUUAUAACUCCAACUUUAAAAUAAUACCUCAAAAGUAAAAUUAUAAAAUCUUUUAAAAAAUAUUUAUAAAUUACAUCACAGUAAAAUUAUAAAAUCUUUUAAGAAAGAUUUAUAAAUUACAUCACAAUAAUUAUAUUUACAUAUUGAAUAUAUCUAAAGUUUAUAUAUAUAAUGUCGGGUUGGUUUGGUUUCAUGUUUGACUUUCUUUAGUUAAACCAAACCAAACCAAUUAUGGUCGGGUGUUUUUUUUUUCUACACCAAACCAAAUCAAACCAACCCAUAAUCGAAUUUUUUUCUCGGUUUGACUCGAAUUAUCGGGCUGGUGCGAUUUGUCGGUCUUCUUUAUACACAUGAGUGUACUAAUAUGAGCUCGGUUUAGAUUAUUAUAAAAAUCUUAGAGUGUGACAUUCGCACCAAAAUACGUCUCCCUGCAUAUCUAAAACUGCUACAACAGAAAGCUUAAGUGGAAACUUAGAUUAAUAAUAGCAUUUGGAAACAGAUGAACAAUAGCUACUGAGCAUAUGCCAGGUGGUUGAUGAAACACAGCAUUUGGAAAUGUGUGAUUACUUUUGUUAUAUAGUUUUCUUGGUGCUAUUUAGUAAUGAAAUUUAAAUUUUUACCUGAUCGAAGGAAAAAAAAAGAGUCUAAUUUUAUUAAUUUGCUAAUUCAACCUCUAGUAUCAGCUAUAUUAUCUGAUGUUUUUGUAUUAUUUCAUCAAUACUGGUUGAUGCCAAAUCAAGCAUAGACAUGAAUUAAGCUUAGAGGCUAAAGCCCCUCCGAAUAAUUUCAGUAGUACUGGUUAUCACAAGAUAUUGACGAUUUUAAACUGUCUACUCGUUAGAGGUAUGGAGACAGACUCUCGAGUCUAAAGGUUUCAAAAUAAGCAGAUCUAAGACAGNNNNNNNNNNNNNNNNNNNNNNNNNNNNNNNNNNNNNNNNNNNNNNNNNNNNNNNNNNNNNNNNNNNNNNNNNNNNNNNNNNNNNNNNNNNNNNNNNNNNNNNNNNNNNNNNNNNNNNNNNNNNNNNNNNNNNNNNNNNNNNNNNNNNNNNNNNNNNNNNNNNNNNNNNNNNNNNNNNNNNNNNNNNNNNNNNNNNNNNNNNNNNNNNNNNNNNNNNNNNNNNNNNNNNNNNNNNNNNNNNNNNNNGGAGGCUUGCAUCAGGAGUCCUGUGUGACAAGAAAAUUCCACAGAAACUCUAGGGGAAAUUUUAUAGAGCUGUGGUUAGACCUGCGAUGUUGUAUGAGGCGGAGUGCUGGCCCGUGAAGAACUCUCAUGUUUAGAGAAUGAAGGUUGCGGAGUUGAGGAUGCUCAGUUGGAUGUGCGGGCUCACCAGGUUAGAUAAGAUUAAGAGUGAAGUUAUUCGAGAGAAGGUGGGGGUGGCCUCGGUGGAUGAGAAGAUUCGAGAAGCGAGGAUGAGGUGGUUCGGGCAUGUGCGGAGGAGAAGUCCCGAUGCCCCGGUAAGGAGCUGCAAGUGGCUGGAGAUUGUUGGCAGUCGGCGAGGCAGAGGGAGGCCUAAAAAGUAUUGGGGAGAGGGGAUUAGGCAGGAGAUGGCGCUGCUUCAGCUCACCGAGGACAUGACCCUUGAUAGAAGAGUGUGGAGGUUGAAGAUUAAGGUAGAAGGUUAGUUGGUAGUUUAUAGUUGUUUACCGAUAGUUUUAGUAGUAUGUUCAUAUUCUUAGAUUUUUAUUAUGUUAUGUGGUUUUGUUCACCUCAGGUAUGAUAUUCCCUGUUGCUAUUAUUUAGUGUCACUUAUCAUUUAUCUUUUUUUUUCUUUUAUCUUUCAUCUUUCAAUGAGGCUUGGCAGGGCUAUCCAUAGAUGAUUUGUGUUUUGGCUUGUGUCUCACUUAUGGUUGUUAUUUAUGGUAGUUACUAUAUGAUUAUUGCAUGCUAUUUUAUUUAUGUUUCUUAUGUUUAGAUAAUUAUUUACGCUAUUUCUGCUNNNNNNNNNNNNNNNNNNNNNNNNNNNNNNNNNNNNNNNNNNNNNNNNNNNNNNNNNNNNNNNNNNNNNNNNNNNNNNNNNNNNNNNNNNNNNNNNNNNNNNNNNNNNNNNNNNNNNNNNNNNNNNNNNNNNNNNNNNNNNNNNNNNNNNNNNNNNNNNNNNNNNNNNNNNNNNNNNNNNNNNNNNUAGGAGUAAGGUCUGCGUACACUCUACCCUCCCCAGGCCUCACUUUGUGGGACUAUACUGGGUAGUUGUUGUUGCUGUAAACUGUCUACUCGUUACGACGUGACCAAAUUAAUAGUCCGAAUAACGAAUAUAUAAAAAAAAAUUGGAGUAUGAUUUUUAGUGGAUUUUCACAAGCCUAUGCUAUUAUAUUUUCCUGAAUCUUACGGGAAAAAGAUAUAUGGCAUAUUGGAACGAAAAUCAAUUGAUAGUAAGUAGUAGCCAUUGGUUUGCAUUUUUAGCACAUCAUGAUAUGGUCCAAAAAAACUUUACCUCGUGCGAAAAGCUUAAAUUCCAAUUCAAAACAAACUAGACGUUUCCAUUGCCUCUUAAAUCGUUGUCUAAGGUCGCUCCAAAGAGAAAGUAGGAAGGAGAAGCAUGUUACACUAGAGAAAUAGAAAAGCCAAUUUUCUUUUUAUAUAAAAGGCACAGUUGGUACAUAGAAUGUGACAUAUUCAAAAGCCUGCAAAUGUUGACAAAAGAAAGAAUCAAAACCUUUUUCCUUUGUGUCUUCGAUAGCGAUGACCUUUGUUUGUUUGCCUCAUAAUCAGCUAAUUCCGUAAGCAUUUAAUAUUUAUUUCCUUCUUCCAUAUUUUCUCCUUUUUUUUUAAGUCCACAAUAUUUACCUCCAGUCCCCACUAAGCCAUUUCUUCUUUCCUUUUUUAGACUGGACGAGAUGGGGGUGUAUAAUUCAGUGCUUGAAUAGUAGUAGCAUCAAGAUUUAGAAAGAGAUGUCUUGGGAAAUCGAAGAGAUUGGAGAAGAUAGCAAGAGUGAAGUAAGUAACAAAGAUGGUGGCGGAGGAAUAACGAAUGAUGUUUAUGUAGCUGUUGGCAAAAAUGACUUGCAUGUUCUUCACUGGGCACUUGAUCAUGUCAUCUCCCCAGGAAUUCGCAUUUGCCUUGUCCAUAUUUUUCCUCCUAUUACUUACAUUCCUUCACCAGGUAAUUGUUACUCCAUUUCUCAAUUUUGUGUGAAUUUGAUGCUUCAUCCUAAACAGUCGCACAGAAAUAGGAAAUUGUGUUACUUUUUCAUACUGUGUCUUCACUACUUUUUCCCCUUGAUUACUAGUUUACUACAGCUUUACAGAAUGAUGUAUUUAAGAAAUCAGGGGGAAUGCUAAGUUAGGAUAAUCAGUACAUCAAGCAACAACGUACCUAAUAAAAUUUCACCAAUAAGGUCUGGAGAGAGUAGAGUGUACGCAGACCUUACUCCUAUUCAAGUUGUUUCCGGCAGGCUCUCGAAAUCCUAGAAUACGAAUAGUUUUUUAGUUACAUGAUUAGGAUAUUUAAUAUUCUGGCUCAAUUUCUUGCUUAUGUGACUAGAGUGACGCCACUUGAAAAAUAAUACACACACACACACAAAAAUCAAUUUAAGGUAAUAAUUAAAGUCUUAAAACUCUAAACUCAAACCAUUUACAAGCCGGAUUAUGAUAGUAGAUCAAAAUAAUUGUGCGAAAUUCUGCAUACGUUAUUGAUUGCGGCAUCCUGAUUAUUAGGGGUGUACAAAAAAACUGACAAACCGCACUAACCCGAUAAUUCGAGUUAAACCGAGAAAAAAAAUCCGACAAUGGUUUGGUUUGACUUGGUUUGUUGUUGGAAAAAAAAAUCCGACCAUAAUUGGUUUGGUUUGGUUUUAACUAAAGAAAGUCAAACCNNNNNNNNNNNNNNNNNNNNNNNNNNNNNNNNNNNNNNNNNNNNNNNNNNNNNNNNNNNNNNNNNNNNNNNNNNNNNNNNNNNNNNNNNNNNNNNNNNNNNNNNNNNNNNNNNNNNNNNNNNNNNNNNNNNNNNNUAAUUUAUAAAUAUUUCUUAAAAAAUUUCAUAAUUUUAUCUUUUAAGGUAUUAUUUCAAGGUUGGAUUUAGAACUUUUGAAUGCUCCAAUAAGUUUUAUUUCCAUUAAUAUUAGUAAAUUAAAUAAUGAUAACAAUCAAUACUAAUGUUAAUAAAAGACAUUCAAUUCAAUAUUAAGAACGGGAAUGUAUUGAAUGUCUAUUUUUUAUUUUGUAAUAAUUUAUAUAAAAAUGCAUAACCUAUUUGUAUUUUUGCUUUAGCUUUUAGUCAUAUAAUUAAUACUCCCUUAUUAGUCUAUUUAGCUUAGCAUGACUUAGUGCUUUUAGAUUAUGUUUAUUUUCCUUAUGGCUUUUUAAUUAGCAAUAUUUAUAUUACUUAAUUUUAUUGUCUUUAUUGUUGAAUAUUUUAGGAUAAUGUCAUGAGUCAUGACACAUUUCAUAUUUUGUAUUAUUAUCUUGGAAAAUACUUUAUAUAGUUGUAUCUUACUAGGAUUAAAGAAAUAUUUUGAGCAUACGUUAUAUGUUUUGUUCUACAAAGAUUUUAUCGAAAAAUAAUAUCCGAAAAAACCCGAAUAACCCGAUAAAAUUCGAGAAAAAGCGAUAUUGAAAAACCCGAAUUUUCUUGGUUUAGUUUGGUCUUUCAAUUUAAUAACUCGACACAAUUGGUUUGGUUUGAUAAUUGUAAAAUACGAACCAACCCGGCAUAUGUACACCCUUACUGAUCACAUGAAGAUGCCUGGCAAUCAUAGAGAAUUAAUAUCAAUUCCCAAAAUUAUUUCAAUUUCAUUCCAUUCAUUUUUACUUGUCCAAUAUUUUAAAAAUAGAUUUUCAAUUUUAGAAAAAUAAUUUGGUUUUUCUAUUUUGCCUAUAGCAUUAAUUAUUUAUUAUAAAUUAUUUUUUAAAUCUAUUAAGAGAAUAUACUAGUUAAUACGGGUAUCAUGGUAAAUUCUGUAUUUUAUUUAUUAUUUUUUAAAGGUAUAAAUGGACAAGUAAAGUGCAGUGAGGGAGAAUAUUUUUAAUUUCUAUCGAGGUGAGCCAAACCAAAAGUAUGGUGCUUCUGACCUUGUAGUAGCUAACGACGAGACUAUAUGUUACGUCACAAUGUAUCUGGUCUUUUGUCAAUUAAGAUCCUAGUUGAGAUAAAUAAAUUGUUUGCGCAUUGCGUCAUUUAUAUUCCAACUAUAAUUUCCGUGGUUCUUGAACAAACUUUAGCAGAAAGAGUGAAAUAUAAAUGUCGAAAAAGAAAAAGAAAAGGACUUUUUGACCAACUUGUUAACAAUUUGAAUUUUGCUUUGAAAGUUGGAAAGUUAUCAAAAAGCCAAUUGAGCAGAGAACAAGUGCAAGCCUACAUCAAUCAAGAGAAUAACAGGAGGAAAAGUCUCUUGGAAAGAUACAUUCGCCUAUGCAAUGAUGCCAAGGUAGGUAAAUUUCCACAUUAUCUGCAAAAUUCCCAUUUUAGCCAAAACCAAAGUUUGAUAUGAUCUUGUUGACAUUUACAGAUUAACUGGGAAAUAAUGCAGGUACCAGUAGAUACUGUAGUUGUAGAGAGCAAAUCACCAGCCAAAACAUUACUUGAUCUAAUCACCGUCGUCAACGUUACCAGCCUUGUGAUUGGAACUAAACGAUCACUUUCCACAAUGUAAAUAUAGUUCUCUAUGAUAUUUUUAUCCAAUUUUGAUGAUUAUAAGUUGGAAUUUGAAGAACUGAAGAGUUUAUUUUCGUUUCAGACGAGUGAAGAAGGGACAUGGAGUGGGAGAAUAUGUUCAAAAAAAUGCACCAGAUUUCUGUCAAGUUAAGGUCGUUAGUGAAGACAAAGAGAUUAAGAAGGAGCAGCUGAAAAGGAGUAGCAAUCCUACUUCUCUUGUGCCUAGUAAACAAUCUGAUAGGAAUUUCUUUGAAUGCAUGUGCUUUUCUGGCAAGUUUAAUUGAAAUGUGGGAAGAAAUACGAGGAAAGUUGGUCUUUGUACAAGUUUAAUAGCAUAGCGUUACUCCCAAUUUUAGUUUUUAUGGCUAGUACUUAAAAUGAUAACAUAGAGAAAAGAUUCCAAAAUGUCCACUAUUAAAUAACCUACUUAAUUUUUUUAUUCAGAAGUUGCAUUUUGGUAACUUUGAUUAUGGUGUUAAGUUGUGUUACCUCCAUUUCAAUUUGAAGAAGGUAUCUCUUAUCUGUUUGUUAAUUGGGGAGAGUCUAUAUUAAAUCGAUCAUUAUUUUGUACGAAUUAUAAGCUACAUCUUUUAAAAAUAUACUAUUGUUAGAUUAAAUUAUACAUUCAAGUAGACACUUUAAAAUUAAACAACGAAACUUUGUUUGAUACCCACUUUAAUUUUUUUGUACUCAUUUUUGUUUCUUUUGUUUAUUCCCUUCACAAGUGUCCUGCCUGCACUUCGCGCAAUAAAAAAAACAAAUUAAAAUAUUUUUUUGGUAAGUAGUUAUUAUAUUACCAAUAACAAUAUGUACAACCCCAAUCUCACCUUUGCUAGCUUCUAUCCACUACAUAAUUCACUCCAUCAGUCUACUACUUACAGGAUCGAUGGCAGUGGUCAAGUGCGCUGGACGACACGGUAUUCUUGUUUAAAUAGUACUAUCGACUGGAGAUCGGAUUGCUACCAGAGAGAGGAAUGACUAUAGGCACGGAACUUACUUUUGACCCCCCAUAGCUGCAGGAUUAUUGGGGCAUCGUUCAUUAUCUCACUCGACGAGCCCUUCUCCAAAAAAAGACAAUAGGUUGUGGCGAGACUGUCGACAUCGAUCAAAUCCGGACUGAUCGUCCUUGAAAUGACAGUCCUCGUAAGCUCAACCCAGGAGUUCCCCCUUGAUUUGAUUCAAUCCGAUCAUGCCCAACUAUGCCUUCUAAAGAACAAAGCGAUCUUUGCAAAUAUAAUUCGAUUUUAAGUUCGAAGUCGAAUCCUCAGGAAACUAACCUAUCUAUUACAACUCUUUGGCAAUGCUAUUAUCAACUCAACCAAUUUCUAGGCGCAAGAUUUUUAUCAAUCAAUCUUGAGUUUUGUUUAACUACUUCAAAUAAUAUUAGAAAUAACAAUAUGCUAGAUCAAAGAUAAUUCAAUGGUAAAAAGGUCUAGGGCAGUGAUUUCCCCAAUUGCUAGUUUAGGUCUUGACUCUUUCUCUAAAUCUCGCUGUAAUACUCUAUGAGGGUUAAGAGCUAUAGGUUAUCGUAAUUAUCUCUCGAUCAACUACAAUAAUUUACUAAAACAUUCUCUCGAACUACUCUAGCUGACAAUAUGUGCAGCUCUAAAUUAUCCACCAAAGUUUCGUUAUCUCUAAACCCACUUUUAAGUUCAAGUUAUGAAUCUCUUUAAUUACCCAAAAGUGGUGUUGUUCAACAACAAUCUAACCUAAUAUUCUUUCUCAAACAAUACGAGGUAAUUAGACACGAUUAAUCAAGGGGCCAUUCAAUUAAUCACCGUACAAAUCUUUGUGCUCAGCCAAGUGGUAAAAAAAAUCUGAAAAACUUAGGCUUCUUUGUACUGUCUUUGAAUUGAAUGCACAGAGGGGAGUGAUCGAAGAAGUAGGGAUCCAUCAUUAGUACAUCUAAAUGCAGCAAUUGUGUCAUCCAUUCAGAGUUACAAUUGCUCUAUUAAUUCUGCUAAACACAUAAUUGUUAGCCCAUGUAUAGUUCCUGCCUACUGCUCUUAUUUCAGUCAUACCAGCAUCCAUAAGAAAUUGCUGAAAAUCCCUAACUUCCAGCUCCUGAGCAGGAUUACCAUCAUACAUAUCAUCUACACUUACUACUGCAUUAUAAUCUCCCAUACAAAGCCAUGGCCCCUGUAUCAUUUGGUGUACACUCGGUAAUUCGGUCCAUAAACUUCUUUUGUCCACAAUAGUAUGUACUUCAUAUAUAGCUUAAAGCUAAACUGCAAUCUCUGAAUUAGGACCUUUCCAUGAAUAUUAUUUUAUAAAUCCGCAACUUUUAUAAAAGAUUGUUAAUCUUUACUUGCCAAUUUUUUCGUUGUUCUACUAUUUUCAUGAUUCCUUUAACAUUGUAUGUAAAAUUAUUAGAUAGAUUGUGAAAAAAAAUUUUGGUCAUUGGAGAGAUUGUGAACUACUCGGGAGCUACAUAUGACCUAUCACACCCAGAACAUUCGUUUCAACUUUCUUUUUUAGUUUGUUAUCUACGCCAUCUCCUGCUCUCUUAAGCUCAUGAAUAAUUAUAUCAAUGCCCAUUAGUUGUUCUUCCCUGGACAACUUAUUUGUUGAAAAAAAUGAUAAAAUAAAAAUGACGAAAUACAUAAAUGGCCCCUUUAAGUACUCCCUAUGAUGAGAGCAUCAACUUACAUUCUUGAGUUUUCGCAUCCCAAUUUUGUGUAUUAGCUUCUUGAAGGUUAACAUCGGUAGAGACUUGGUGAACAAAUCAGCCAUAUUAUCACUUGAACGAAUCUGUUGCACAUUGAUAUCACCAUUCUUUUGAAGAUCAUGCGUGAAAAAUAAUUUUGGUGAAAUAUGCUUUGUCCUAUCUCCUUUUGUGUAUCCUCCCUUCAAUUGAGCUAUGCAUGCUGCAUUGUCUUCAUACAAAAUCGUGGGUAGUUUGCCACAUUUCAAACCACAUUUAUCUCGAAUGAGAUGUAUUAUAGACCUUAUCCAUACACUCUAGACUUGCUUCAUGAAUAGCAAUUAUCUCAGCAUGAUUAGAUGAAGUAGCCAUAAUUGAUUGCUUAGUCGAUCGCCAAGAUAUGGCAGUGCCUCCACAGGUAUACACAUAACCUGUUUGAUAUCGAGCCUUGUAGGGGUCAGAUAAAUACUCAGCAUCAGCAUAACCAACAAGAUCAGGACUGCUACUACUACCAUAAAAUAAGCCCAUAUCGGUAGCCCCUUUUAUAUACCGCAAUAUGUUUCUUUAUAGGAGCAGAGUUAUAUCUUGCUAAGACAUUAACUGAAAAGUUAUGUCAGGCCUUGUAGUAUUGGCAAGAUACAUUAGUGCACCAAUUGCACUAGGAUAUGGUACUUCAGGACCAAGUAGAUCUUCAUUCUCUUCUUGAGGUCGGCAUGGAUCCUUAUUCACAUCAAGUGAUCGAACAACCAUUGGAGUACUUAAUGGAUGUGCUCCAUNNNNNNNNNNNNNNNNNNNNNNNNNNNNNNNNNNNNNNNNNNNNNNNNNNNNNNNNNNNNNNNNNNNNNNNNNNNNNNNNNNNNNNNNNNNNNNNNNNNNNNNNNNNNNNNNNNNNNNNNNNNNNNNNNNNNNNNNNNNNNNNNNNNNNNNNNNNNNUAAUUUUGUCUUUCCGAGAUCUUUCAUCUCGAAUUCCUUCUUUAAAUAAUCAAUUGCCUUUUGGAGUUCUAUAAGAGUUCCAAUAAGGUUUAUGUCAUCAUCAUAUACGGUAAGUACAACAAAUUCCGAUGUUGUUUUCUUUAUAAAAAUGCAUGUGCAAAUGGAAUCAUUUAUAUAGCUUUCCUUUAAUAAAUACUCACUAACACGAUUAUACCACAUUCGUCCUGAUUGCUUUAGACCAUAAAAAGAUCUUUACAAUUUCAUUGAAAACAUUUCCCGAGACUUAGAAUUAUGUGCGUUUGACAUUUUAAAUCCAUCAGGAAUUUUCAUGCAUAUCUCAUUAUCAAGUGAGCCAUUAAGAUAGGCGUUAACCACAUCCAUUAAAUGCAUGUCAAGCUUUUCAUGGACAACAAAACUAAUAAGAUAACGGAACAUUAUAGCAUCCAUAACGAGUGAAUAUGUCUCUUCAUAAUCGACACCAGGCAUUUGUGAAAAUUCUUGUGGAACAAGGCGUUCCAUAUAUCUUUGUACCACGUUUUUUCUCAUUUCUCUUGCGUACAAAGACCCAUUUAUAGCCAACAGGCUUAACACCAUUUGGUGUUGGGACUACAUGCCCCAAAACUUCACGUUUUGCAAGUAAAUUCAACUCUGAUUGGAUUGCUUCUUGCCAUUUUGGAAAAUUAAGUAUUUGUUGACAUUCUCCAACAGAUUAAGGUUCAGGAUCCUUGCUUUCUUGUAUAAUGCUAGAUGCAACAUUAUAUGCAAAGACAUAACCCAACACUAUAUCCACUCGAUUCAAAUUUGUUUCAAUAUCGAUUGGAUUUAUUGAUAGUUCCUUAUUUUCUUGAGUCUCGGGCUCAAUGAAUUUCUCAUUAAUCUCAGAAUUUAUUAAAGCGUGGAUUUCUUCGUAAGAUUCUUUCGUAGUGUCAGUUUGAUCAUUUAUUUUCCUUUUUCUAGGAUUUCGAUUGUCACGACCCAAAAAUUCAAACCCGGUCGUGAUUGCGCCUCUCGUGAAGACAAGGUCAGCCAACUAAGCCAAUUUGUCACUUUAACAAUUUUUAAACAUAAAUAAAUACAACUUAACACAAUAAUAACCAGUGUUUACAGCCCAACAUAUCCUGACCGGGGUGUCACAAGUCACGAGAAUCUAAGGAAUAUGAACACUACUAUAAAACCAGUAAUAUAUAUAGGAAAUUUAGAAUCAAAGGAAGAGAUACGGUGCCACAAACGCUGGCGGUCAUCUUGCUCAGCUACAAUAGAAAUACCUUCAAUCAGAAAUUUAAAAUAAAAGUAAGAGAUACGGUGUCGCAAACGCUGGCGGUAACCUUGCUCGGCUAUAAUAGAAAUACCUUCAAUCAGCUAAUCUCCCGCUACUGGGUGAUCAAUACUUGCAUCUGUACACAAGGUGCAGGGAGUAAAGUGAGUAUUCCACUCAUUGAGUAAUAAAAAUAAAUAAUGGCUGAAAGCAUGAAAUCUCAUAAAGGUACAAUAUAGCGUUAUCUCAAGCAGUAAAAUCAAUUAUACAUAAGACCAUAGAGUAUUAGGUAAUUCUCUUUUUAAAACAUUGAAAACAACAACUUCAAGAACUAAAGAGUAAUCAAAAGCUUGCCCCUCAGGCUCAAUAUCAAACUCUCAGUACAGUAUUAGCCUCACGAGCUCACUCCCAACUCACCAGCGCACAACAUCAGCCCCUCGGGCUCACUUCCAAGUCACCAAGCACAAACAUCGGCCUCUCGGGCCCACUCCCAACUCACCAAACACAAACCGUAGUUGAAUAUUUUGCAUUUCUUAAUGGCGAAGGCACUUGGCCUGAGUCCCAGUUCAACUCGUAGUUGAACUUUUUGUUCUCCCACAUAACUCGCUUCGUGUUGGGCGUUGGGAUAUGAUUCUGGUUUUGGAUCUUGCAUAACUCGUGCUUGUAGUCUUCUUGACCGGUUUGCAUAUGCUACCCCGUUACAGAUUUCGGUUCGAGAUGCUUUUAGAUUUGAUCUGUUUUAGGAUCUUGCACGACUCGUGCUUGUAGUCUUCUUGACUAGUUCGUAUAGGUUACCUCGUUACACAUCUCGGUUCGAGAUGCUUUUGUGCUUUAUUCCUUUUUGGCAGGAUCACGGUAAAAGGGGGUGAGGUACCUUGUGCACAUUUUUCCCGUAGGGAUGGGGGAUCUACUACUACUUCUUCUUCUUCUUCCCCUUGCUCGGAGACGCGGGAUGUGGAAGCAAGCUCAUGUCGAGGCUUUUGAAUUCCUUUUAUCCGACGUGCCGCUUUGGCUUGUUCGAGCUGGGUUGUUUUCUUAUCCGUCAGCGAAUGAUUAUACCUUUUAUUAGCCCGACGAGCUUAGGAGACAAUUAGACACGCUAAUUAUCAUGAAUCUAAUUCUUUUUUGGUCCAAGGAUAAACUACGCGAUUCUGCUAUGAAAUCCCCAUAGACAGCGCCAAAUUAUUUAGCUUAAAGUUCUAGUGUACCUCGUAAGCGUAAAUCAAUUAACGAAAUAAGGUUCAAUCAUAGCACGUCGUAAUAAAUGACCAAAGGAAUAAAGUAAAGAGAUAAGAUGCAAAGCUUUUGAUCAAGAUGUUAAAGGUGGAUAGCAUAUUUGUUGAUUAAGAUUGACAUGGUCUACCUCCCUCUCUUUUAGAAGUAGAGGUGAAGAAGAAGAAGCAACCCCUUUUAGGGUUCUUCCCCUUAAUAUUUAUAGCUGUGAAUCUUGCCAGCUGGCGAUGCACGGCCGUGACUGCGUCGAAGGGACGUCCGUGAACAAUGAGUAGGCCACGGUGUCGUUAAUUAGGUCGAGUAACCUCGGAAUACAUUUCUCAGCGGAUGAUUAUACUUUUUAUUAGCCCGAACGAGCUUAGGAGCCGAUUAAAUACGCUAAUUAUUAUGAAUCUAAUUUUGACCCAUACAGUUAUUAUUCUUAGAAAAAGUAGUAAAAUUAUUAAUUUUCAAUUGUUCAUUUAAUUUUUCUGAAGUAUUUGUUAAAAAAUUGCCGAUGUUAUGAAAUAGAAGAUUCUUACACUUCUAUUUAAGGUGAAUGUCUUUAAUGUACUUAAUNNNNNNNNNNNNNNNNNNNNNNNNNNNNNNNNNNNNNNNNNNNNNNNNNNNNNNNNNNNNNNNNNNNNNNNNNNNNNNNNNNNNNNNNNNNNNNNNNNNNNNNNNNNNNNNNNNNNNNNNNNNNNNNNNNNNNNNNNNNNNNNNNNNNNNNNCCCCUCUCAACUCAAUAAGAAGAACUCUCUCUACUCUUCUCUCUAUUGCUAUUGUUCUUGUUAUAUUGUUCUUGUCUUUUGCUUUAGUUUAUAACAGCCGAAAAAUUAACCAAAACCCUUUCUCUUUUUCGCUUUCUUAUGCUUUCUGGUUUCUGGACACAUUACGUACAGCACGAGAAGGAACUCAGGAAUCUCAAGAAAAAACUACAAUUAAAAAAAAAGAAAAAAGGUACUCUAGUAGAAUAAAACUAUUACCGACUUGAAUAAAUAUUGAGAAAAUAUCUCCUACGCGACUGGUAUUACAUUUUUGAGACAGAAAUACAUAAAGGAAAGACGAUUAAAGAGGAAAAUCCAGUUUCUUUGCCUCCCAUUCAUCUUUCAAAUCCGUAAACCCUAAUUCUCUUUUGCGACCAUGAGCUACUCUAAUUACGACUCCAGAUAUGGUGACUCAGGCUCCUAUCGCCAGCGUCGCAGGUACAUGUUUAAUUCAAGAUUCUUCUUAUUAUUAUGUUGUCACAUGCACUUCGUGAUUUAUACGUAGGAGUAUUAUGUUUCUGCAUAAACUAUACAAGCGUAGAUAACUCUGUUGGCAAUAAAGUUUGAAUCUUGUGAUUGGGUAUUCACUAUUUGCUUGUGUUUCUCCGAUUUCAGUGACCUAGUGGGUCCACCUCAUAUAUAUUCUCGGCCUAUGCCUGGUGGAGCUGCGGCUAGCUACGGUCGUGGUGGGCCCCUUCCUUAUGGCGGUCCACAAGCACCGCCUAUGGACGCUGGUGCUAGAGGGGGUAGUGGUAUGGGUGGAUCUGGACCUCUUGAUGGCGGGUUCAAUGGGUAUCCACCUUUUGAAGGUGGGUUUUCAAGAGGGGCUGGUAUGGGCCGGGACAGUGGCUUUGGAGGUGACAGAGUGGCUAACGGUGGUAUGGGAGACCGGCCUGGGCGAUUCGGUGCAGGGUCAAACAACACUGGAAGUAGGAGUGGUGGAAGAGGAGGUAGGGAUUUUGAUGGAGGCUACAGUGGUGGACGUGGAGGUGGAAGGUUUAGUUCGGAUGGAGGCCGUGGUAGUAGUGGUGGGAGAGGAGGAGGUAGGCAUGGGAGCUCGCGAGAUGAUCUAGACAACCUUACUCUUCCAAAGGCAGACUUUGGAAACUUGGUACCCUUCGAAAAGAAUUUUUAUGUUGAACAUCACUCCGUGAGAAUAAUGACUGAAGAGGAUGUUGCACUAUAUCGUGCACGGCGUGAGAUUACUGUUGAAGGCCAUGAUGUCCCUAGGCCAAUUCAGGUAUGGGAGACCGGCCUGGGCGAUUUGGUGCAGGGUCAAACAACACUGGAAGUAGGAGUGGUGGAAGAGGAGGUAGGGAUUUUGAUGGAGGCUACAGUGGUGGACGUGGAGGUGGAAGGUUUAGUUCGGAUGGAGGCCGUGGUAGUAGUGGUGGGAGAGGAGGAGGUAGGCAUGGGAGCUCGCGAGAUGAUCUAGACAACCUUACUCUUCCAAAGGCAGACUUUGGAAACUUGGUACCCUUCGAGAAGAAUUUUUAUGUUGAACAUCACUCUGUGAGAAUAAUGACUGAAGAGGAUGUUGCACUAUAUCGUGCACGGCGUGAGAUUACUGUUGAAGGCCA
rnacentral:lncRNA from 1 species